CAGCUCAGCAAAAAGCAGGGAUUCCUGCCAACGUGUCAGUCCCACCGGGGCCAUGAGAUCUUACCUUAGUGCAGAGCCGUCCGUGAGCACCAAAGCAGGAACUUCCCCUCUCUUUCCCGAAAUCAACACCCCACUGUUUGCACCUCUCAGCUUGUGGGAUCUUGGUUCCCUUACCAAGGAUUGAACCCUUGACCCCUGCGGUGGAAGCGCAGACUCUUAAUCACUGGACCACCAGGGAAGUCCCGAAAGAUGAUUUCUUAGAAGGAAAUUGGAGUGCUGCUCUCAAAAGAGGGGUGCAGUUGAUCCCAGCAGCCAAACACACUGCAAAUGUCCCUCACAGUUUGCUGAGACUUUGUAAUGAUCUCUAUAUUCUGAUGACUUCUAAAAAGAUCAACAAAACUAAAUUAAAUCUAGUUUAUGUAACUGUGAGUUUUUCUGUAAUAAACAUAGCUAAUCUUCA